rnacentral:rRNA from 1 species
UAGAGUUUGAUCCUGGCUCAGGAUGAACGCUAGCGGCAGGCUUAACACAUGCAAGUCGAGGGGCAUCGGGAGGGAAGCUUGCUUUCCUUGCCGGCGACCGGCGCACGGGUGAGUAACACGUAUGCAACCUGCCCUCUUCAGGGGGACAACCUUCCGAAAGGGAGGCUAAUCCCGCGUACAUCGGUUUCGGGCAUCCGAGAUCGAGGAAAGAUUCAUCGGAAGAGGAUGGGCAUGCGGCGCAUUAGCUUGACGGCGGGGUAACGGCCCACCGUGGCGACGAUGCGUAGGGGUUCUGAGAGGAAGGUCCCCCACACUGGUACUGAGACACGGACCAGACUCCUACGGGAGGCAGCAGUGAGGAAUAUUGGUCAAUGGGAGAGAUCCUGAACCAGCCAAGCCGCGUGAGGGAAGACGGCCCUAUGGGUUGUAAACCUCUUUUGUCGGAGAACAAAACCCGGGACGUGUCCCGGACUGCGUGUAUCCGAAGAAAAAGCAUCGGCUAACUCCGUGCCAGCAGCCGCGGUAAUACGGAGGAUGCGAGCGUUAUCCGGAUUUAUUGGGUUUAAAGGGUGCGUAGGCGGUCCGUUAAGUCAGCGGUAAAAUUGCGGGGCUCAACCCCGUCGAGCCGUUGAAACUGGCAGACUUGAGUUGGCGAGAAGUACGCGGAAUGCGCGGUGUAGCGGUGAAAUGCAUAGAUAUCGCGCAGAACUCCGAUUGCGAAGGCAGCGUACCGGCGCCACACUGACGCUGAGGCACGAAAGCGUGGGGAUCGAACAGGAUUAGAUACCCUGGU